rnacentral:rRNA from 1 species
GACGAACGCUGGCGGCGUGCUUAACACAUGCAAGUCGAGCGGUAAGGCCCUCGGGUACGACGAGCGGCGAACGGGUGAGUAACACGUGGGUAACCUGCCCUGUACUCUGGGAUAAGCCUUGGAAACGAGGUCUAAUACCGGAUAUGACUCGGGAUCGCAUGAUCUUGGGUGGAAAGUUCCGGCGGUACAGGAUGGACCCGCGGCCUAUCAGCUUGUUGGUGGGGUAAUGGCCUACCAAGGCGACGACGGGUAGCCGGCCUGAGAGGGUGAUCGGCCACACUGGGACUGAGACACGGCCCAGACUCCUACGGGAGGCAGCAGUGGGGAAGUAUUGCACAAUGGGCGAAAGCCUGACGCAGCGACGUCGCGUGGGGGAGGAAGGCUUUC